rnacentral:lncRNA from 1 species
GCUUUACCUCUGUCCCCCAGCCUUUGGAGUGUCACCAAACAAGCCAUUCGUUCACCAAAUACUUAUUAAGUGCCUGACAACGGAGAUGUAACGAAAUUGCCUGUUUGCUCCACUCUGGUUGAAGAAACCAGUCUGACUGUCUCUGAGGCUAUGGAGCAGUCCAUCAAGAAUGAAAGCCCUCUGCCAGGCACGUUGGCUCACACCUGUAAUACCAGCACUUUGGGAGGCCGAGGCAGGUGGAUCACUUGAGGUCAGGAGUUCGACACCAGCAUGGCCAACAUGGUGAAACCCUGUCUCUACAGAAAAUAAUACUUUGCAAGGCCUCAGAAACUCUGCUAUCCACAGGCAGGUCUUACAGUCAUGGCUGGCUCCUCUCUCUGAGAACUGGGACUCCUGAACUUGGUGAAAUACCUCAGCCAUCGAUCAUGUUAAAUUAUCGGGGACACUCAUUAAAAAUGUGAGUCUGCUCCAGAUGGACUCUCUCUCUUUCUGCCCUGACCGUGAGGGAGACCGUGAGAGAGAGAGACCGUGAGAGAGAGAAACCG